CCUACGGGUGGCAGCAGUGAGGAAUAUUGGUCAAUGGACGCGAGUCUGAACCAGCCAAGUAGCGUGAAGGAUGACUGCCCUAUGGGUUGUAAACUUCUUUUAUAAAGGAAUAAAACGAGUCACGUGUGCCUUUUUCCAUGUACUUUAUUAAUAAGGAUCGGCUAACUCCGUGCCAGCAGACGCGGUAAUACGGAGGAUCCGAGCGUUAUCCGGAUUUAUUGGGUUUAACGGGAGCGGAGAUGGGUUGUUAAGUCAGUUGUGAAAGUGUGCGGCUCAAACGUAGAAGUGCAAUUGAUAAUGGGAGUCGUGAGGACAGGUGAGGUAAGCGGAAUUCGGGGUGUAGCGGUGAAAUGCUUAGAUAUGACGAAGAACCCCGAUGGCGAAGGCAGCUUACUAAACUGUGACUGACAUUGAUGCUCGAAAGUGUGGGUAGCAAACAGGAUUAGAUACCCGGGUAGUC
rnacentral:rRNA from 1 species